AUUGAGCCUUGAUGUGUAGGAUAGGUGGGAGGCUUUGAAGCGUGGACGCCAGUCUGCGUGGAGCCGACCUUGAAAUACCACCCUUUAAUGUUUGAUGUUCUAACGUGGACCCGUAAUCCGGGUUGCGGACAGUGUCUGGUGGGUAGUUUGACUGGGGCGGUCUCCUCCUAAAGAGUAACGGAGGAGCACGAAGGUUGGCUAAUCCUGGUCGGACAUCAGGAGGUUAGUGCAAUGGCAUAAGCCAGCUUGACUGCGAGCGUGACGGCGCGAGCAGGUGCGAAAGCAGGUCAUAGUGAUCCGGUGGUUCUGAAUGGAAGGGCCAUCGCUCAACGGAUAAAAGGUACUCCGGGGAUAACAGGCUGAUACCGCCCAAGAGUUCAUAUCGACGGCGGUGUUUGGCACCUCGAUGUCGGCUCAUCACAUCCUGGGGCUGAAGUAGGUCCCAAGGGUAUGGCUGUUCGCCAUUUAAAGUGGUACGCGAGCUGGGUUUAGAACGUCGUGAGACAGUUCGGUCCCUAUCUGCCGUGGGCGCUGGAGAACUGAGGGGGGCUGCUCCUAGUACGAGAGGACCGGAGUGGACGCAUCACUGGUGUUCGGGUUGUCAUGCCAAUGGCACUGCCCGGUAGCUAAAUGCGGAAGAGAUAAGUGCUGAAAGCAUCUAAGCACGAAACUUGCCCCGAGAUGAGUUCUCCCUGAGACUUAGAGUCUCCUGAAGGAACGUUGAAGACGACGACGUUGAUAGGCCGGGUGUGUAAGCGCAGCGAUGCGUUGAGCUAACCGGUACUAAUGAACCGUGAGGCUUAACCUUAC
rnacentral:rRNA from 1 species